rnacentral:rRNA from 1 species
CGGUAGGGGCAAGCGUUGUCCGGAUUUAUUGGGCGUAAAGAGCGUGUAGGCGGCCAGGUAGGUCAGCUGUAGAAAACUCGAGGCUCAACCUCGAGACGCCGGUUGAAACCAUCUGGCUAGAGUCCGGAAGAGGAGAGUGGAAAUUCCUGGUGUAGCGGUGAAAUGCGCAGAUAUCAGGAAGAACACCCGUGGCUAAGGCGGCUCUCUAGUACGGUACUGACGCUGAGACGCGAAAGCGUGGGGAGCGAACAGGAUUAGACUACCCUGGUAGUCCACGCCGUAAACGAGUGGGUGCUAGGUGUGGGGGGUGUCGACUCCCUCCGUGCCGCAGCUAACGCAUUAAGCACCCCGCCUGGGGAGUACGGCCGCAAGGCUA